CGCGCAUGGCAGCUCUGAGGACCGAAGAUGUUGCCGCCAUCUUUAUUGAGGACGUGAGCGUUGCUCCUGGUGCUGAACAGAGCGCGAAGGUUCGCCGUCGUUGGGUCCGCCCUCCCCACUUUCGGUCGCCGCCUUCACCCACCUCCCUCCUUCUAGGGCGCUGUCCCAGCUCCGUCUCCCAGCCUUUUUCUGUCCUUCCAGAUCUCUUGUUCCCCCUUCCUGACCACUAGUUCUGAACCGUGUCCCGGAUUUUGGUCUGAAAUUUUGGUGCCCAUGAGCGUUCUCAUAGCUCUGGGAGGGGGUACUGUGUGAAAUCCUGGGGUAGAGGGGACGAUGGCUGGAGAGGGGUCUGGGGUGCCAGCACCCCGAACAAUAGCUUUAACUAUCCCAUCAGCUAGUUUUAUGAAACAUGUCGCGACCACCUGCUUGUUUGGAUCGCCCCUGCGGAGCAGGGACCAGAGAUGACCCUCCCGAGGCGGGAGCAGAGGCCAAAUUCUUCCCUGCCUUGCUGGUCCCCAGCAGUCUCCCGGGCUCGGGGCCCCUUCACUGGAGGCUGCACCCCCUCCCAGGCUGCGAGUCCCGAGUGCUCUGGGAUGCCACGUGGAGCCCGG
rnacentral:lncRNA from 1 species